UACGUAGGUGACCAGUGUUGUCCGGAUUUACUGGGCGUAAAGCGUGCGCAGGCGGUGAUGUAAGACAGAUGUGAAAUCCCCGGGCUCAACCUGGGAACUGCAUUUGUGACUGCAUCGCUGGAGUACGGCAGAGGGGGAUGGAAUUCCGCGUGUAGCAGUGAAAUGCGUAGAUAUGCGGAGGAACACCGAUGGCGAAGGCAAUCCCCUGGGCCUGUACUGACGCUCAUGCACGAAAGCGUGGGGAGCAAACAGG
rnacentral:rRNA from 1 species